CUUUCCCUCUUUCGUCAUGCCUUACACAUGCAAGUCGAACGGCAGCACGGGUGCUUGCACCUGGUGGCGAGUGGCGAACGGGUGAGUAAUACAUCGGAACAUGUCCUGUAGUGGGGGAUAGCCCGGCGAAAGCCGGAUUAAUACCGCAUACGAUCUACGGAUGAAAGCGGGGGACCUUCGGGCCUCGCGCUAUAGGGUUGGCCGAUAGCUGAUUAGCUAGUUGGUGGGGUAAAGGCCUACCAAGGCGACGAUCAGUAGCUGGUCUGAGAGGACGACCAGCCACACUGGGACUGAGACACGGCCCAGACUCCUACGGGAGGCAGCAGUGGGGAAUUUUGGACAAUGGGCGAAAGCCUGAUCCAGCAAUGCCGCGUGUGUGAAGAAGGCCUUCGGGUUGUAAAGCACUUUUGUCCGGAAAGAAAUCCUUGGCUCUAAUACAGUCGGGGGAUGACGGUACCGGAAGAAUAAGCACCGGCUAACUACGUG
rnacentral:rRNA from 1 species